rnacentral:tRNA from 1 species
GGUAGCGUGGCCGAGAGGUCUAAGGCGCUGGAUUUAGGCUCCAGUCUCUUUGGAGGCGUGGGUUCAAAUCCCACCGCUGCCA